AUGUCAAUAGAGCUCAAACUUUCCCGUGCAAGUCGUAUCUAUCACCCUUCGGAACCUCUGGAGGGAAAAAUCAUAGUAAAAUCUUCUUCUUCCAUUUCUCACUAUGGUGUUCGUCUCACUGUCAAUGGAUCCGUCAAUUUGCAGAUUCGUGGAGGAUCG